UAGGGAAUCUUCCGCAAUGGGCGAAAGCCUGACGGAGCAACGCCGCGUGAGUGAUGAAGGUCUUCGGAUCGUAAAACUCUGUUAUUAGGGAAGAACAAAUGUGUAAGUAACUAUGCACGUCUUGACGGUACCUAAUCAGAAAGCCACGGCUAACUACGUGCCAGCAGCCGCGGUAAUACGUAGGUGGCAAGCGUUAUCCGGAAUUAUUGGGCGUAAAGCGCGCGUAGGCGGUUUUUUAAGUCUGAUGUGAAAGCCCACGGCUCAACCGUGGAGGGUCAUUGGAAACUGGAAAAACUUGAGUGCAGAAGAGGAAAGUGGAAUUCCAUGUGUAGCGGUGAAAUGCGCAGAGAUAUGGAGGAACACCAGUGGCGAAGGCGACUUUCUGGUCUGUAACUGACGCUGAUGUGCGUAAGCGUGGGGAUCAAAACAGGAUUAGAUACCCUGGUGGUCCACGCCGUAAACGAUGAGUGCUAAGUGUUAGGGGGUUUCCGCCCCUUAGUGCUGCAGCUAACGCAUUAAGCACUCCGCCUGGGGGAGUACGACCGCAAGGUUGAAACUUAAAGGAAUUGACGGGGGUCAUAGCUGUUUCCUG
rnacentral:rRNA from 1 species